UUUUUUUACCAUCAAAUCCUCACACACACUCUCUCCCUCCCUCUUCCUCACUCUCUCUCCCCCUCCCCCCCUCUCUCUAACACACACACCCACAGCUCCAAGAAUACGCGGAGGAGGUGGCCUGGGUCGUCGUCGGCGCCGUCCGGCGCGGGCCACGGGCCCGCUUCCAAGUGCGUCUGCGCGCCGGCCACCCACGCCGGGUCCUUCAAGUGCCGCUUCCAUCGCACCAACUCCCAGAGCCACGACCACGGCCAGGGCCAGGGAAGCCGCCCUUCUUCGCCCCCUUCACCGGCCGCGGCCAACGCGGUGCCGCGACACCCGGCCUCGCCGUCCUCGUCCUCCGGCACCGUCGCGACCCAGUGA
rnacentral:rRNA from 1 species